GGAGUUGUAGCUCAGUGGUAGAGCACUUGCCUAGCAUGUAUGAGGCACCCCUGGGUUCAAUUCUCAGCACCA
rnacentral:tRNA from 1 species